ACUUGUAUAGACUUAUUUUUAGCUUUGUAUUUGUAAGGCACCCUUAUUUUUCUUUUAGGUCAUACCUUAGGAUUUUAAGGUAUGUUGCUUGGAGGCUUUUACUUCAUUUGACCUUGUAUUAAGGGCAUAGGUUUUCAUAUUUUUAGUUUCAGUAGUGGGGUGGCAAAUAACAAAUGUGUAGGUGAAGCUAGCAAUUGGGCCUUUAGUGGGCCUAGGCCAAAUUUUACAUAUUAAGUUUGUUUUUCUCUAUUUAAUCCAAGGAAUUCAUUUAGUUGGGUCUCACCUAAACCAAUUCCAAGAUUUUUGGAUUGGAUUAGACGAAGAAAAACAAGCAUGGCUGCCUAGCUCUCCUUUGGCUGAGUUUCCUUGUCAGCUUCUCCAACACAUGCACUUGCCUCUUGGCUAGACAAGGGGACAAGUGUGGUGAGAGUUAAAGUGGUUUAUCUUCUACCUUGAAAUGACACCACUUGAAGAAAGUUCUUCACCUUCUAAGGUGGAACUAGAGGUCUUUCCCUCCAUUAGAGACCUUGAAGAAGCUUGAGGAGUAUCAAGAAACAAAAGAUCUAGGAAGGAACUUGAAGGAGAAGCCAUAUCAAUCUGGUUGCUCCAUAAGGUUUCCAUCAUUUGGUAUCAUAACAAGGUCUUCUUGGUAAACACUUUCCUUAAGCUUCCUUGUAUGUUUUGGUUCAGUUAAAACACUUUUGUUUAGUGUCUUGAUUCGUGCUAUAUGUUUUGUUCUUGAUUGUAUAGUGUUUGUAUGGUGUAGAAUUGUUCUUGUGUCACAACUAUAAAUCUAUAGAACAAUUCAAUUUGUCUUGCAUAUUUUUUUAUUCAUACAUCAAUCUUUGUGAAUCA